CUCCUCCUCUCUCCGCAGCACCCUCUCCAUCAUCUGCUACGCCGGCCGGCCGGCGACCCUGGCAACAUGAAGCUCCUUCCGGCCGUCUUCCUUCUCCUACUAGUCUUCCUCGCACUGGAUGAUGCGCAGGCCCGAGGCACACCCAGGGCUCGGUGGUCCAGCAUGUUCGUCUUCGGCGACGACUUUGUCGACAACGGCAAUGUUCCCAACAUCAUCGGCGAAAGGACGUCGCGGCACGGCGGCAGUGGAGCUACCCGUACGGCGCUUAUCGCAACUCUAGUUGGUCUGGCGCUCCCGUUCCAACAGGACGCUUCUCCAACUACCGGAUGCUAUCAGAUUUUAUCGCAAGGAUGUUCGGCCUCAAUGAGGCCCCUCCAGCCUACGAGCUCACAUCAGAUCAGUCUUGCGACUCAUCGGGCAUGACCUUCGCUUUUGGCGGCGCUGGUGUCUUCAAGGUGGCGGCGAAGAAAGUGCAGACCCUUGCCGCACAGGUUCAAGCUUUCAAGAGGCUAGUCAACGACGGGGUCAUCCCAACACGACAGCUUCACCACUCCGUCGCGGCAUCGCGCUCAUCGCCAUCUCGGGCAAUGACUACAUGAGCGGCUCCGACGCCAAUAAUGGCUUCUACUCAAGCUUCGAUGAUCUUGAUACUUACAUGGGAAACGUGGCGACUGAGAUCCUAGAUAAUGUGGCACAGCUGCAGACGCUUGGUGUGAGAAAGGUGCUACGAGUAGUAAGCAACUUGCAUCCCAUUGGUUGCACGCCAUUGUAGACUAGCUCAAACAACUAUAUCACGUGACAUCGUCAAUCACGCCCCUGGUGAAGGGUUGGAUCGGUCCAAGGAUUUCAAGCGCAAGCUGACCCCGUGUUGCGAGAGUUCCUAUGAGGGAGGGUACUGUGGAGAGCGUAGCAGUUCACGGAAGCACCUCUACUACCUAUGCCAAAAUCCCGACAAGAGGUUCUACUGGGACGAGACACAUCCGACACAUGCUGGGUGGGAGGCUGUAAUGGAGGCGCUGGAGCAGCCUUUGAUGGAAUUUCUCAAUUGAUGCGUUGUAUUUUUGGCAGCACCUUGAUCAAUUGAUAGUUGGUGCGGUAUCUUUUAGGUUAGCAUUAUAUACAGUGUGCGUAUUUAGGGGUGAGCUUGAGAGAUUUUCUUUCGUCAUGUUCGGCUAAACUUUUAGUCCAGUAGGUUCGAAAUUGCUUAAUGUCUCGUAUCCCAUGUUUGAGAUUAGAAAGAUGGUCGUAGUAUUUGACCAACGUCCACGACGGCAUACGCCCUCUUGAGCUCUUUACUAAAUCUUGUUCAGUGUUCGGCUGCUUGAUCUCUA